ACAGCAGUCGCCGCGGUAAUACGUAGGGUGCAAGCGUUAAUCGGAAUUACUGGGCGUAAAGCGUGCGCAGGCGGUUAUAUAAGACAGUCGUGAAAUCCCCGGGCUCAACCUGGGAACUGCGAUUGUGACUGUAUGGCUAGAGUGUGUCAGAGGGGGGUAGAAUUCCACGUGUAGCAGUGAAAUGCGUAGAUAUGUGGAGGAAUACCGAUGGCGAAGGCAGCCCCCUGGGAUAACACUGACGCUCAUGCACGAAAGCGUGGGGAGCAAACAGGAUUAGAUACCCGGGUAGUCCCUGUCUCUUAUAC
rnacentral:rRNA from 1 species